UUUUCUGAGCCUUAAUGUCGAGCUAGACAAAUUUUGUUGGAUUAAAAACAAAUUAUUAGUGACCGAAGACAGCGGACAAAGAUUGCUUAGGAAAUUCCUCCUCAAACACAAGAUUCUAAUUCGUUAGAAUUUAUUUCCAUUACAAAUGAGCUUUGGGAGGAUUCACUGAGUAAUUCAACAAUAGAAGAUUUUCAUCACAAGAUUCACAAUGCCCAAAAAGUUCUUAGAAGUGCAUUUGUUGAGCUCAACGAAAGCCUUGAUUCACGCAAGAUUUUACAGAGCAUCAAAUUAAGUUUGAAAUGAGAAAGAGAAAAACAAUGGAUCUUGCGUCAAUCUCAUCUGCACCUACAACUUUGAUUUCUUUGAUUAAGAAUGUUGAUAGUUGCUUUUGCUGGGGUCAAUCCCGUGUUGCAUAAUGUUCUUGAUAGAAACAUUUGAGCUUUUAUUUGAAUUAAAGAUCUAAAUUCAAUUAUUGUAUAUAGCGGUUUGUUUAGGCCCUCCUGGUGGUCAAAUUGUAAAUUGUGACCACAAUGCUUUAUUGUAUCUAAUAUUUUAUAGUUUUUUCACCGAUGAUUUCCACAAAUUGUAAAUUGUUUAUUUCUAAUGCCAUGCUCACACUA